AACGAACGCUGGCGGCAGGCUUAACACAUGCAAGUCGAGCGCCCCGCAAGGGGAGCGGCAGACGGGUGAGUAACGCGUGGGAAUCUACCCAUCUCUACGGAAUAACGCAUGGAAACGUGUGCUAAUACCGUAUACGUCCUUCGGGAGAAAGAUUUAUCGGAGGAUGGAUGAGCCCGCGUUGGAUUAGCUAGUUGGUGGGGUAAAGGCCUACCAAGGCGACGAUCCAUAGCUGGUCUGAGAGUAUGAUCAGCCACACUGGGACUGAGACACGGCCCAGACUCCUGCGGGAGGCAGCAGUGGGGAAUAUUGGACAAGGGGCGCAAGCCUGAUCCAGCCAUGCCGCGUGAGUGAUGAAGGCCCUAGGGUUGUAAAGCUCUUUCACCGGUGAAGAUAAUGACGGUAACCGGAGAAGAAGCCCCGGCUAACUUCGUGCCAGCCGCCGCAGUAACAC
rnacentral:rRNA from 1 species